UUCAAACUAUCUUUAUCCACCGAAAAACAAAACGCAAACACAAACUCUUUUCUCUCUCUCUCUCUCUAUGUUGAAUGCAAUUGCGCAAUUCGAUUGGCGAUGAUGGAGGAGCUUCCGGCGUCGCUGUUGGUGGAAAUUGUGAGUCGUUUAACGGACACUACCGAUGUGGCGCGGUGCAGGGCGGUGUCCAAGGGUCUAAACGCGGCGUCAUACGAGGUGCGGUGGCUGAACGUGGUCUGUUCCAUGUCGCGCUACCUCAAGUCCCGUUCGCCGGAGACCAAGCACCUCGUCACUCCCUUCAAGACCGUUUUCUCUCACCUCGUAUUCCGCUCCACCUCCACUCUUGACUCCGUCUCGCUGGGCGUCGAUCGCGCCCUCGGUGGCGUCUCCUUCGACGACGUCGAGGAUGAGUCCGACGAUCUCUACCUUACCGACAUGAACUUCAUCAGAGAGUGGCUUCCAUCCAUUUCCCACGCUCUGAAAUCUUUCUCCGUCUCCGAUUUCUGGGUCCAGUCUUGUUGGCGCCGAUCCGAAGCCUUGUCCCUCAUCUCUUCCACCUGCCAUAAUCUUGGGAAAUUGGUUGUGAGGAAUGCGUGGUUAUCCGUGGAUGGUUUGUGUUUGAUGCCAACGUUGAGACAUUUGACUCUUGAGUUUGUGAGACUGGAUGAUGAGGACUUAAGCAGGAUCAAUGCUUGUUUCCCUAAUUUGACUCAACUCAGUCUUAUUGGGGUUGGUGGACUUAAGGAGCCUAAGAUUAAUUUCUUACACCUUACCACUUGUCAAUGGUCGGUCUCAAAUGCUCCACUUUCUUUGAUCAUAUGUGCACCUUGCCUUGUUGAUUUUGAUCUCAGAUGCAUCAAACCUAAGUUGGUUGUCCUUGAGGCCCCUUCCUUGUCCAAUUUUAAUCUCUCCCUCGAGAAUACUGAUGAGCUCAGGUUGAAAAAUUGUGCUAAUAUACAAUGCCUUCAGCUCAGUGUAGAAUGCCUCUCUCUUGGUUUUUUGUUUACUAUGUUUCGUCACUGCAGCACGGUGAAGAGACUUACCUUGGAUUUGGUAGGAAGAAGAAAACAGGUUGAUGCAGCAGUGUUUGGGAUUGAUACUUUGUUGGGUUGUUUUCCGAACAUAACAUGUCUUAGUUUAGGUCCUGGAGCCUGGCAUGUGAUGGAGAAUUCAUUUAGACGGGGAGGUUUGGCAGAUGGGAUUGGUAUGAAGAUGAUAAAACAACUUAUUGCACAUCUAGUGGUCCAUGAAGUGGAGGGUACUCUUGCAUUUAUCUCUUCUGUUUUGGAUAAAAGCACCCAGUUGUGUGAUGUUUCUCUUCUUAUCCAUCGUGAUGUUGAUUCAUAUGUUGCUGGCGGCCUGAUCUCUUCAUGCAGAAGCAAAUUCCCAAGAGUGAGAUGGAGAUGGGGAAUAUGGAAAGAAGGAAUCAAGGAUACUUGGGUCUCUGAUGGCACCUAGUUUGGUGACUGCUAUCUUUGUUAUGAAAAGGGGAGUUCUCAUUGAUUUGUUAUAUCAUAGGUUUACGAAUAGACGAGUCAUGUUAGGACACUGUCAGACUUUGAAUAUAUUUUGUUGAAUCAACUCCAAUAAGCAUAAAUGAACGUUAAACGAACCGGAAUGUCGAUAAAAAAAUUAUUUCCGAUGUUAGAAAACCAGAGAAAGUUGAAAGAAACUAGACGAGGAAUCAGAAAGGAGACUCUGAAAUAUGGUGGUAUUAGUAUCAGGAGAAGUUUUUCCAAACUGUGUUGGCGAAUUGGAUGCAGUUGGAAGUAGCAUUCUUCUUUGGAUUUGAUCAGCAUUAAAAAAUAUCAUGGCUAUAGUUAACUGUGGAGAAGAAGCCACCUUGUGGAAAGUCCUCCCCUUGUGAAAUCUCUUUGUAUAGAUCUUUGCUGUUGUGUUAUCUCUUUGUACAUAUCUUUGCGCUGCUCUUUUUUCAAGCAUAUGUAUAUUAUUGUAUAUUAUUCAUCCCUGUUAUGGUUUUAUGGAUUGAAGUUUAGAUGUACUCACCAGUUUUAUGCAGGUCAUCGCUAAACUUUUCCAUGGGUGGAAGGGCAAAGUCAAUCUACCGUCUUAGGUCAUACCAUGUUUAUAAACUUGUUCCAUGUUUGCGUUAUCCACAUUUUCAUGGAACUUAUUAUAGCAGCCUAAUUGCAUUUUAUGGUAGAAGAAUUCAAUCCUUGUGCAUAGGUUACAAAUAUUUAUUUUUAGUAUUAAGUUAGCAUCAACCGCA